GACGAACGCUGGCGGCGUGCUUAACACAUGCAAGUCGAACGGUGAAGGGACCGGUUUUUGCUGGUUCUGGAUGAGUGGCGUACGGGUGAGUAACACGUGAGUAACCUGCCCCCUUCUUCUGGAUAACCGCAUGAAAGUGUGGCUAAUACGGGAUAUUCUGCGCCUGCUGCAUGGUGGGUGUGGGAAAGAUAUCGUUUCGGCGGGGGAUGGGCUCGCGGCCUAUCAGCUUGUUGGUGGGGUGAUGGCCUACCAAGGCGGUGACGGGUAGCCGGCCUGAGAGGAUGAACGGUCACACUGGGAAUGAGACACGGGCAAGACUCCUACAGGAGGCAGCAGUGAGUAAUAUUGCACAAUGGACGGAAGCCUGAUGCAGCGACGCCGCGUGAGGGAUGAAGGCCUUCGGGUUAUAAACCUCUUUCGCCAGUAAAGCAGACCUGUCCCUUUUGUAAGUGGGUUGACGGUAGCUGGAUAAGAAGCGCCGGCUAACUACGUG
rnacentral:rRNA from 1 species